CACAGAGAUCCAUACACUUGAACACAAGUUAUUGUCAUGAAACUAGAAAAAUGCUUGUUUUUUGCCCCUUUUUGGCCCCUAAUUCCUAAAAUUUGGAGGCAAUUACCCGCAAAAUCAAUCCCAGCAUUCCCUUUGUGAUAUGGAACCUUGUGGUACAAUGUCAGAGAGAUCCAUACACUUACCCACAAGUUAUGUCUGGAGUUACAAUAAAAUGCUCUGCAGGGCGCAGCUUGAUACGACCGCAGAGGUCGAACCCUGACCAGUUGGGGCAAGUAUGGACACAACAUUCAAGCUUGAUACAGCUUUGCAUUUGGAUUGUGAUUAAAUAUUUGACACAGCAUAGGUUUCUGACACAGAAUGAAUGUGGUCUAAGAACUUAAAAUUUUUAAAUUGGACAUUCACCUAUUAUGGUCCAAUAUCCUAUUACCUAUUCAAACCAUAUCAUUAUUAUUUGCUUUUAUAUAUAAAUCAGAAAUAACCAAUUUAAAAUGGAAAAUUUUAAUGAAAAAAAAGGAAAAAAAAUUCUCCCCCAAAUUUUUUGAACCCCCUUAUGAUUCAUCACCCCAAAACUCAAUCCUAGCCUUCCCUUUGUGGUAUGGUACCUUGCAUUACAAUUUCAGAGAGAUCCAUACACUUGAACACAAGUUAUUGUCUGGAAACUAGAAAAAAUGCUUUUUUUUUGGCCCCUUUUUGGCCCCAAAUUCCUAAACAUUUAGAGCAAUUACCCCCAAACUCAAACCCAGCUUUCCCUUUGUGAUAUGGAACCUUGUAGUACAUUUUCAUAAAGAUCCAUACACUUACACACAAGUUAUUGUCCUGAAACUAGAAAAAUGCUUGUUUUUGGCCCCUAAUUCCUAAAAUUUUGAGGCAAUUACCCCCAAAACCAAUCCCAGCCUUCCCUUUGUGGUAUGGUACCUUGCAGUACAAUUUCAGAGAGAUCCAUACAUUUGAACACAAGUUAUUGUCUGGAACCUAGAAAAAUGCUUAUUUUUUGCCCCUUUUUGGCCCCUUAUUCCUAAACUUUUUGGGCAAUUACCCCCAAACUCAAUUCCAGCUUUCCCUUUGUGAUAUGGAACCUUGUAGUACAAUUUCAGAAAGAUCCAUACACUUACACACAAGUUAUUGUCAUGAAACUAGAAAAAUGCUUGUUUUUAGCCCCUUUUUGGCCCCUAAUCCCUAAAAUUUGGAGGCAAUUACCCCCAAAAUCAAUCCCAGCAUUCCCUUUGUGAUAUGGAACCUUGUGAUACAAUGUCAGAGAGAUCCAUACACUUACACACAAGUUAUUGUCAUGAAACUAGAAAAAUGCUUGUUUUUUGCCCCUUUCUGGCCCCCAAUUCCUAAAAUUUGGAGGCAAUUACCCCCAAAAUCAAUCCCAGCAUUCCCUUUGUGAUAUGGAACAUUGUGGUACAAUGUCAGAGAGAUCCAUACACUUACACACAAAUUAUGUCUGGAAGUUACAAUAAAAUGCUCCGCAGGGCGCAGCUUGAUACGACCGCAGAGGUCGAACCCUGAACAGUUGGGGCAAGUAUGGACACAACAUUCAAGCUUGAUACAGCUCUGAAUUUGGAUUGUGAUUAAAUAUUUGACACAGCAUAGGUUUCUGACACAGAAUGAAUGUGGUCUAAGAACUUAAAAAUUUUAAAUUGGACAUUCAACUAUUAUGGUCCAAUAUCCAAAAUCUAAAUACAUGGUUAGAUUCAGCAUAUCAAAGAACCCCAAGAAUUCAAUUUUUGAUGAAAUCAAACAAAGUUUAAUUUUGGACCCUUUUGACCUCAAUGUGGACAAAGUUGAUAAUGGGGCCCAAAAAUCAAAACUCUAAAUACAUGGUUAGAUUCAGCAUAUCAAAGAACCCCAUAUAUUCAAUUUUUGUUGAAAUCAAACAAAGUUUAAUUUUGGACCCCGAUUUGGACCAACUUGAAAACUGGGCCCAUAAUCAAAAAUCUAAAUACAUGUUUAGAUUCAGCAUAUCAAAGAAUCC